GACGAACGCUGGCGGCGUGCCUAAUACAUGCAAGUAGAACGCUGAAGAGGGGAGCUUGCUCUUCUUGGAUGAGUUGCGAACGGGUGAGUAACGCGUAGGUAACCUGCCUUGUAGCGGGGGAUAACUAUUGGAAACGAUAGCUAAUACCGCAUAACAAUGGAUGACACAUGGCAUUUAUUUGAAAGGGGCAAUUGCUCCACUACAAGAUGGACCUGCGUUGUAUUAGCUAGUAGGUGAGGUAAUGGCUCACCUAGGCGACGAUACAUAGCCGACCUGGGAGGGUGAUCGGCCACACUGGGACUGGGACACGGCCCAGACUCCUACGGGAGGCAGCAGGAGGGAAUCUUCGGCAAUGGGGGCAACCCUGACCGAGCAACGCCGCGUGAGGGAAGAAGGUUUUCAGAUCGUAAAGCUCUGUUGUAAGUCAAGAACGGGUGUGAGAGUGGAAAGUUCACACUGUGACGGUAGCUUACCAGAAAGGGACGGCUAACUACGUG
rnacentral:rRNA from 1 species